rnacentral:lncRNA from 1 species
ACAAGUAUGAAGAGAAUGUCGGGAGAGGAAGUGGUGGCUAUGAGUCAGCAUGAGUCAUCUCGUUCCAAUGAGAAUGAAGGCUGAGGUGUGCGCCUUUUUUUUUUUUCCUUCUUAGUCGUGUGUACAUCAUUGGGAAUGGAGGGAAAUAAAUGACUGGAUGGUCGCUGCUUUUUAAGUUUCAAAUUGACAUUCCAGACAAGCGGUGCCUGAGCCCGUGCCUGUCUUCAGAUCUUCACAGCACAGUUCCUGGGAAGGUGGAGCCACCAGCCUCUCCCUGAAUAACUGGGAGAUGAAACAGGAAGCUCUAUGACACACUUGAUCGAAUAUGACAGACACUGAAAAUCACGACUCAUCCCCCUCCAGCACCUCUACCUGUUGCCCGCCGAUCACAGCCGGAAUGCAGCUGAAAGAUUCCCUGGGGCCUGGUUCCAACUGCCCACUGUGGACUCUGAGGCCUCUGCAUUUGCGGGUGGUCUGCCUGUGAUAUUUUGGUCAUGGGCUGGUCUGGUCGGUUUCCCAUUUGUCUGGCCAGUCUCUGUGUGUCUUAAUCCCUUGUCCUUCAUUAAAAGCAAAACUAAAGAAAACAGAA